UCGCAGAGCACGCCUCUCAAGUAUCAUUUGCUUUGCUGGUAAGACCCUUGUAAGAGCUUGGUAAGAUGUUUUUCUAUUGCAGUGUUGAUUGAGAGGCACCACUGUCCCUGCGUAGUAUAUUAUUAGGGAUAACCUUCACUGUUUGUUCCUGUUCUUGUGUCUAUAAUAGCAGGUGAUGAUGGAAGUGGCACCCCCAAAGACUUCCACGAGUGUGUGAGCUAAGGUCAACUACAUGUGGCCAUCGAACAGGGGCAGCAGGUGGUUGUGUUGGAAACUCGUCCCCCACCCAAUGAAGAUGAGGACGUGGUCUAUGAUGUCCAUGGUAACACAGAUGAAGCAGCCACCAGAGACGCGCGACUUCGACGUCUUCUAUGCACCAACACCAUAGGUAUGGGUGGUAAUCGUAACCACGCUCCCGGUGACCCAUAUGCUAAGGUUAAAUUCAAUAUACCUUCAUUUUCUGGACAUUAUGAUGCUGAGGGAUAUCUUGAUUGGGAGAUGAUUGUCGAGUAGAAAUUUAGUGCCCAUUUUGUACCUGAACAAUAUAGAGUUUGACAAGCCACUAGUGAAUUUAAGGAUUUUGCUAUGAUUUGGUGGACCGGUUUGACUUCAGCGGGGCUUGCACCUACUACAUAGGCAAAACUUAAGGUUGCUAUGCGUGAUAGAUUUAUUCCCCCUUCUUAUCACGGAGAUCUGCGUAAGAGCUUGAUGCGCUUAGAACAGGGAGAUAAGUCUGUACAGGACUAUUAUGGUGAGCUUCAAAAGGGUUUGAUGUGUUGCGGCAUAGUAGAGGGAACUAAGGAUUCUAUUUGUCAUUUUUACUCAGAUUUGCGGCGCGAUAUUCAGGACAUAGUGGAUUAUAAGGAGUUUAACACCGUCAACCAGUUGUUUUAGUUGGCUAUGUUUGCAGAAAAUGAGUUGCAGGGACGUGACUUGCAGGGCACGAGCAAGGUUGGCACCACAUACGCUCCACGUUUGAUGCCAUCGUCCGGGCUGACCAGACCCUCCUCCUUUCGGGCGCCUCCUAAAACAAGCAAGCGACUAGCAGAUGCCGGAGUUGCUGCACCGCCUAAACCUUCGGAUUCAGAAGGAUUGCCCAAGUCAGCGAGCAUACAUUGCUACAGACGAUGGGUACAUCAGCACCUCCGACAUGGAAGAUGAUGCAGCAGAAGAUGCUACUGCGAAGGAUGGCAAUGUCCUUGGUAGCAAGGACACGGUGGCUUUUAGGAGCAUCAUCGUGCACCGAGUACUCAGCACGCAGUUACAACAACUAGUGAAGCUUCAACGCCAUAAUUUAUUCCAGACUUUCUUCGUCAUCAACAAUUGACGAGCACGUGUCAUCAUUGAUGGAGGUAGCUACAAUAAUUUGGUGAGUUCAGAUUUGGUCAAGAAGCUAGGCUUGACCACACGCCCCACCCCCAUCCAUACCAUCUUAUGUGGUUUAAUGAUGCUGGAAAAGCUAAGGUAAUACAUACUUGCAGAGUUUCAUUUUUUAUUGGUCCCUAUGCUAGUUCUGUUAAUUGUGAUGUGGUACCUAUGGAAGCUUGUUCAAUUUUAUUUGAUCGUCCUUGGAAAUUUGAUAAUGAUGCUACACACCAUGGUCGAAGUAAUACAUACACUUUUAUGCAUAAAGGAAAGAAAAUUACUUUGUUACUUUUGACCCCUCCUGAAAUUGUACAAGCCGAUAAAGAACGAGCUGCUAGUUUGAAUGAUACUAAUUCUGAAAAUCAGCAAGUUGCUAAGUCUCUUUAUCCACCUAAAAAGGACAAAGAAAUUAAAUUGAAGGGUGGUGUCAUGCUUGCCAGAAAAUGUGACCUUGCUGAAAUUUCUGAUAAUGAUAUUUGCUAUGCUUUGGUGUGCACGCAGACCUUAUUUUCACUUAAUAAUAGUGCGAGCUCGAUACCUCCUGUUGCUACUAACCUUUUGCAGGAGUAUGAGGAUAUUUUUCCAUCUGAGAUACCACCGGGACUACCACCUAUGAGAGGGAUUGAGCAUCAAAAUUAUUUGAUUCCGGGUGCAACUUUGCCAAACCGUAUUGCUUAUAGAACCAACCCCGAGGAGACUAAGGAAAUUCAGCGACAA